ensembl:lncRNA
CACCGACAUGGUCAGCUCCUACAGACAGUGUUAGGUACAACGACAUGGUCAGCUCCUACAGACAGUGUUAGGUACACCACCUCGUACGCCGACAUAGUCAGCUCCUACAGACAGUGUUGCGUACAACGACAUGGUCAGCUCCUACAGACAGUGUUAGGUACAACGACAUGGUCAGCUCCUACAGACAGUGUUGGGUACAACGACAUGGUCAGCUCCUACAGACAGUGUUAGGUACAACGACAUGGUCAGCUCCUACAGACAGUGAGCCACCUGUCCAGGGCUUGCUAUAUAAAACAGGCAGACAGGCAUCGAGGCAUUCAGUUACUGUUCCAUUGAACGUUACACUGGACAAAACUAGUGACCUAAGAGACUCUGAGCGUGGUUUGAUCGUUGGUGCCAGGUACACCGGAUACAGUGUCUCAGAAACGUCCUCCCUCCUGGGCUUUUCACACACGACAGUGUCUAGGGUUUACCGAGAAUGAUAAGACAAACAAACAGCAUCCAGUCAGCCGCACUCCUGUGGGUGGAAAACGGAAGACUCGCGCAAGCUACCAGGCGGCCCACAAACAGCAUCCAGUCAGCCGCACUCCUGUGGGUGGAAAACGGAAGACUCGCACAAGCUACCAGACGGCCCACAAACAGCAUCCAGUCAGCCGCACUCCUGUGGGUGGAAAACGGAAGACUCGCACAAGCUACCAGGCGGCCCACAAACAGGCAAAUAACGGAGCAGUACAACAGUGGUGUUCAGAACGACAUCUGGGGAAAACACAACUCGCCCCUCCUUGUUACUGAUGGGCUUUUACAGCAGACGACCACAGCGGGUUCCACUCCCAUCAGCUAUACAGAAGAAGAAGAAGUGUCCCCAGUGGGCAGGCCGUCACCAACUCUGAGGAGUGGAAGACAUUGCCUGGUCCAAGGAAUACAGGUUCCUGUUGCAUCACGCUGAUGGCAGAGUCAGGGUUUGGCGUAAGCAGCGUCCAAGUCCAUGGCCCCAUCCUGCCUGGUGUCAACGGUACAGACUGGGGGUGUAAUGGUGGGGGGAUCCAUGGCCCCAUCCUGCCUGGUGUCAACGGUACAGACUGGGG